GAAAAUAUGUAGACCUAACAUCUAUCUCCCUGCUCCAGUUUCAAGAGAAAAGACCUUAUUCAGAGAAAUAUUUAGAAGACUCUUGUGGAAUUCUUGCUGUGAGUGGUUUUUCCUUCCCUGCCAUUGGUGCGACUGUUUCCCCCUUCCGUCAAAUUGCUGUCUAGAUGUUUCUCUCUGACCCCAAUUUUCUCGGAGUUUGGGAUUAUCAAUCUAAAAUCAGAGGCAGGGAGGAACUUGGAUUGUCCUUCAGUAAAAUUCCACUUUGAUGCGCAAAGCGAACUUGAAUUUCUGCUUGGCCUACCACAGGCCUGCAACAUGCACUUUCUCCUCGAGGGAACUGCCACUCACUGACACGGACAACAGUAAAGGAACUUGGUCUUCACUAUGCCUCAUAGUGGUGGGUCACACUGCCCAGGAGGAACCCGCAAUGAGACCGGCAAAUGCCUUAACCAUCUCAUUGUCUCAUCAGGAAGAAGCUUAAAUGACUCUUCUUGCUCACAUACUUCCUGGGCAAACAUGUCUGCUCUGUUGGGAUAAAGGACGCUCUAGACCAGGCUCUGCUGAAAGAUCCAGGGCAAAGGUUCCUGACAAGACUAUGUCCAGCCUCAAAUAAGGCCACAGAAGAGCCCAGGCUCGCUGACGAGCACCGGCUCCGAGGCAGUCACAUCAGGAGACAGAAACAGACAUGUUGGUGCUGCCCUCUCAGGUCAGUGCAAAUGCCACUUGAGGAGGGCUGAGAGCUUUGCAGCAUAAAAUGACCAGAACAAGGAGAAACACAGAUGCAAUGGCAAUAGCUGGCAAUUCGCACAUGGCGUCAAACACCACUGCCACAGAAGCUUUUUAGCUACAAGCCACGCUAUGCAACCUUUAAGCAAAACAUUAUUGAUUUUGUGGUUGUAAAAACAUACCUUCAACUGCAGAACUCAGUUUUAUGACACCUUGAAUAAAAACAAAAAGUGGCAGUUAUAUAAUGGACCCAAAUCGCCUUUUCCAGGCUUCUCAUAACACACGCAUGCUUCAGAUUUGGAUUUUUCUUUUUCUGCUGGCAUUGCAAGAACGUAACUAAACAAAUAUCAACUUCAAAAAUAAAAUAAUUUUUAGUCUUAA